AUGAGGACUUCUGGCCACCAUGUAAUCUCCACCAUGAUAGUCUAUAUACUCAAACUGUGUGCCAAAAUAAGCCCUUCCUCCUCCUUGCUGCUUCUGUCAAGUAUUUUUCAGAGAAACGAGAAAACUAAUAUGUCUGCUAUGAGUCAGGUAUUCUUCAAGGUCACUUUCACCUUGAACUCCUUCAUCUCAAGAGCAGACUUCCAGAUUGCCCCAAAGAGAAAGAGGGCUGGAGGCUGGUCAUCAACAACUAAACAACUUCCACUUCCAGACUGCUAGCCAGAACUGGUCACACAGGUGCAGUCCAACUGCAACAGAGACUGGAGCAGAUGGCUAUUCUAAGAAACUGUGUCCAGAAAUAGCUCUGGAAAUCUGUUCUUCGGCUGAAGAAGUUUCCAUCAAUCUGCACGAGUGUAGAAAGCAACAGAAGUGGAGAGUCACUGGGUCUGCCCAGGAAAAAUGUUUUAACCCAAGAGUCUGGGACCACAUGGCUUUCUGAGACGCUACUUGCCUGGUAGAACAGACUCUCAUCAUCAAGCAGCUCCACUCCUGUGCUCACUGGCUGAAGCCCUCACUUUCCCACACCCAGGAAACACCCAAACCCUAGUCUUUUGUGUAACACAAAAUGUUUAAUAAAUGGCAACCAUUUGGUUCUUUCCUUAGGGUU
rnacentral:lncRNA from 1 species